UACAUAGGUCUCAAGCGUUGUUCGGAUUCAUUGGGCGUAAAGGGUGCGUAGGCGGCGCGGUAAGUCGGGUGUGAAAUCUUGGAGCUUAACUCCGAAACUGCAUUCGAUACCGCCGUGCUUGAGGACUGGAGAGGAGACUGGAAUUUACGGUGUAGCGGUGAAAUGCGUAGAUAUCGUAAGGAAGACCAGUGGCGAAGGCGGGUCUCUGGACAGUUCCUGACGCUGAGGCACGAAGGCCAGGGGAGCAAACGGG
rnacentral:rRNA from 1 species